rnacentral:rRNA from 1 species
UGGGGAAUAUUGGACAAUGGGCGAAAGCCUGAUCCAGCCAUGCCGCGUGUGUGAAGAAGGACUUCGGAUUGUAAAGCACUUUAAGUUGGGAGGAAGGGCAGUAAGCGAAUACCUUGCUGUUUUGACGUUACCGACAGAAUAAGCACCGGCUAACUCUGUGCCAGCAGCCGCGGUAAUACAGAGGGUGCAAGCGUUAAUCGGAAUUACUGGGCGUAAAGCGCGCGUAGGUGGUUCGUUAAGUUGAAUGUGAAAGCCCCGGGCUCAACCUGGGAACUGCAUCCAAAACUGGCGAGCUAGAGUAGGGCAGAGGGUGGUGGAAUUUCCUGUGUAGCGGUGAAAUGCGUAGAUAUAGGAAGGAACACCAGUGGCGAAGGCGACCACCUGGGCUCAUACUGACACUGAGGUGCGAAAGCGUGGGGAGUAAACAGG